GACGAACGCUGGCGGCGUGCUUAACACAUGCAAGUCGAACGGAAAGGCCUGCUUUCCCUUGUGGAUUGCGGGUACUCGAGUGGCGAACGGGUGAGUAACACGUGAGUGAUCUGCCCCCAACUUGGGUAUAAGCCUGGGACACUGGGUCUAAUUCCCGAUAGGACCGCAGGGGGUGGCCGGAGGGGGAAAACGAGGGGCGAGGGGCGGGGGAGGAGCGCGCGGCCGAGCAGCUUGGUGGUGGGGUAAUGGCCUACCACGGCGGCGACGGGUAGCCGGCCUGAGAGGGUGGACGGCCACAUUGGGACUGAGAUACGGCCCAGACUCCUACGGAAGGCAGCAGUGGGGCCUCUUGCACCCUGGGCGGCCGCCUGCUGCCGCGACGCCGCGUGGGGGAUGACGGCCUUCGGGUUGUAAACUCCUUUCGACCGCGAGGAAGCCUCCUGGUUGGGCGGGUGGUGCCGGUCGUGGUCGCAGCCGCCCCGGCUCCCUUCGUG
rnacentral:rRNA from 1 species